AGAUAUGGAUGCCAGUAAAACUCUCAUUGCUUUGAAAUGGAGCUUCAAAUAAGGGAUAAGGGAAACCUGAGAAGAUUUUAUUCAAAGGAAGAGGCUUCAGAUGUGAAUCAAGUAGAAAAGCCGGAGGAAUUGGUCAAUUCAAAUCCAGUCUCAUCUACAAGCUGUUGAUAUGAAGAGGAGAAUUAGAAUGGAUGAAAGAAUAGAGCUGUGAACUUGUUUGCAAUGGGACGAGGAGAAGAAAAUGGAUACAUUGAGCCUGAAAAGGAAUAGAUAACCAUAGGAUCACACAACUGGAAAUGUGCUGAAGGUCAUCUAUUUUAAGCCAUGCCCUACUGUGCAGAAAUCAGGAUUCUCUGUCCAUAGAAAUAACAGAUUCAUUUGGGGGGGGUGUGUGUUAGUUUUUAAUGAUCUGAUGGUUAUUUAAUCCUCUGCGCAGGAUGAGUAAUGGGAUCUAGGGUUGGUAAAAGUAAUUCACCACAUUGGGAUGACAGCAGGAGGAGAGCUGGUCUUGUGGUAGCGAGCAUGAAUUGUCCUCUUUGAUAAGCAGGGUCUGUCUUGGUUCGCAUUUGUAUGGGUGACUACAUGUGAGCACGGACCACUGUAAGAGCACUGUCCUCAUCCCUUAGGGGAUGGGGCCAUAGCUCAGUGGCUUAGCAUCAAUUUGCAUGCAGAAGGUCCCAGGUUUAAUCCAUUAUCUCCAGGUAGGACUGGGAGAGACUCCUGCCUGAAACCUCGAAGAGCUGCUUCCAGUCAAUGUAGACAAUACUGAGUUAGAUGGACCAAUGGUCUGACUUGGUAUAAGGAAGCUCCCCAUGUUCCUAUGGGAGCAGUACUUAUUAGAAAGCAUUUAUGGUGUUCUGUCUACUUAUUCUCCACAAAUGGCAUAAAAACAUUCUACACUUCCUUAUGGAUAGUUGUUGAAGUAGAUGAGAAGCUGUCUUUCUGGGUUAGUGUUAUAGUCUAGAUUGCAUUGACACUCAGGAGAACUCAGUGGUAUGGCUUGAGAAUAUCACCAUGUUGUCUGCAGCUCCAUCCAGGCAGCUCCAUCCAGAUAUUUCCAGUAAGGAAAGCAUUCUUUGAGUUUCUGUGCAAGUGAAGUUCUUCAUUCUCAUCUUCUUUUUGCUCUGGAGGCCAUUUGCUAAAGUUCCAAAGAACCAAAGUUAGUAUGGUAAACAACGAUACCUUCUCCCUUCUCCUCUUUCCCCCUGAUUCUGUUCAACACACACACACACACACACACACACACACACACACACACACACACACAAUAUUAUUAGGCAUUUGGUCCCUUUGCGUUUAUCAGAGAGCACAGUGUCCUUGUUAAAAUAACACUGUGCAGUAGAACAGAAAAUAAGAUGUCACGGCAAGCUAAACUCCUUCACUUUCGAAACAUACUAAGCAGCCCUCUGGUGAGGGCUGAAGGCAGCAGACUCAGCAAUCUCUUUGGGAUUAUUUAUUUAGUUUGCUUGCAUUUAUAUUGUGUCACAGGGGCCAGUGGAACCCUGACGUGGACACUGCUCAGGUGAGAAGAUCCAGCCCCUUGUGGUUAGAAUGUUAUUCCCCAUCAGGGCAAACAUGAGGUGUUGACUGGAAUCUAGUCUCUUCACACCAGAACACAUUGGGUUUUGCUCUGAAUGUCCCUAUUGUGCUUGCCAUAACAUCUUAUUUUCUGUCUCACUGCACAGUGUUAUUUUAAUCUGCACUCUGAUAAACUUUGAAGAUCACUCCAGUGGGCUUCACUGUAUGAAACUCUGGCCAUUCUGACUUUAUUUAUUGGUUCAUUUUAUUUUGCUUUAUUUCCCUGCCAUGUUUAGUAUGACUGAGUGGCCAAUUCAAUAAAAAAUGGAAAACUCGUGCAUUCUGUACAAUAAAGUGGAGCAGGUUACCGAA